GACGAACGCUGGCGGCGUGCUUAACACAUGCAAGUCGAACGGUGAAGGGACCGGUUUUUGCUGGUUCUGGAUGAGUGGCGAACGGGUGAGUAACACGUGAGUAACCUGCCCCCUUCUUCUGGAUAACCGCAUGAAAGUGUGGCUAAUACGGGAUAUUCUGCGCCUGCUGCAUGGUGGGUGUGGGAAAGAUAUUGUUUCGGUGGGGAUUGGCUCGGGGCCUAUCAGCUUGUUGGUGGGGUGAUGGCCUACCAAGGCGGUGACGGGUAGCCGGACUGAGAGGGUGGACGGUCACACUGGGACUGAGACACGGCCCAGACUCCUACGGGAGGCAGCAGUGGGGAAUAUUGCACAAUGGGCGCAAGCCUGAUGCAGCGACGCCGCGUGAGGGAUGGAGGCCUUCGGGUUGUAAACCUCUUUCGCCAGUGAAGCAGGCCUGUCCCUUUUGUGGGUGGGUUGACGGUAGCUGGAUAAGAAGCGCCGGCUAACUACGUG
rnacentral:rRNA from 1 species